rnacentral:rRNA from 1 species
UGAGGAAUAUUGGGCAAUGCCCGAAAGGGUGACCCAGCAACGCCGCGUGGAGGAUGAAGGUCGUAAGAUUGUAAACUCCUGUUAGAGGGGAAGAAUAACUAAGUUUGGAGCUUAGUAUGACUGUACCCUCAGAGAAAGCCCCGGCUAACUACGUGCCAGCAGCCGCGGUAAUACGUAGGGGGCAAGCGUUGUCCGGAUUUAUUGGGCGUAAAGCGCGUGUAGGCGGUUUGUUAAGUCUGAUGUGAAAGCCCCGGGCUCAACCUGGGAAGUGCAUUGGAAACUGGCAGACUUGAAUACGGGAGAGGGUAGUGGAAUUCCUUGUGUAGGAGUGAAAUCCGUAGAUAUUAGGAGGAACACCGGUGGCGAAGGCGGCUACCUGGACCGAUAUUGACGCUGAGACGCGAAAGCGUGGGG